rnacentral:rRNA from 1 species
AUUGAACGCUGGCGGCAGGCCUAACACAUGCAAGUCGAACGGUAACAGGAAGAAGCUUGCUUCUUUGCUGACGAGUGGCGGACGGGUGAGUAAUGUCUGGGAAACUGCCUGAUGGAGGGGGAUAACUACUGGAAACGGUAGCUAAUACCGCAUAAUGUCGCAAGACCAAAGAGGGGGACCUUCGGGCCUCUUGCCAUCGGAUGUGCCCAGAUGGGAUUAGCUAGUAGGUGGGGUAACGGCUCACCUAGGCGACGAUCCCUAGCUGGUCUGAGAGGAUGACCAGCCACACUGGAACUGAGACACGGUCCAGACUCCUACGGGAGGCAGCAGUGGGGAAUAUUGCACAAAGGGUGCAAGCCUGAUGCAGCUAUGCCGCGUGUAUGAAGAAGGCCUUCGGGUUGUAAAGUACUUUCAGCGGGGAGGAAGGGAGUAAAGUUAAUACCUUUGCUCAUUGACGUUACCCGCAGAAGAAGCACCGGCUAACUCCGUG